UGUUCUUGGACUUAGAAGGACGAUAAUAUUUUGACCUUGACUGAAAAACAACUUUCUCAAGCCUGCCAAAAUCAGGUCAUGUGACUCAGAACAACUCAGAACAAAAGGACAGACAAAAUAUUUAGACUCUGACACUCCCUGGAAAAUAAGCCUUAACAAGAAGCUCAAUGUGGCAGGAAGCCAAGAAGAUUACCCCCUCAGACAAAGGGUAAGAGGCACCUGAAAGACCAACACCAGACUCCAUUGGCAGGUCUCAAGGGCAUGGCAGCCCACAAAUUUGACCAAGAAAGUGGAGUUCAUUGCCCUCACCAAGACCUUGGAACUUAGAACCAGCAAGAAAAUCAACAGCCAUAUGGAUAACAGGCUCAAGGUGCUCGAGUGGGUGAGGCAGCGAGCACAGAAGCAGCUCCGGGAGGCCUACUCAGGAGGAGACUUGGAAGUCCCACACCGUUUCCAAGUUGGAGAUCAGUCUAUGUUAGACGCCACUGAGCAAAAUACCUUGAGACUUGGUGAAAAGGCCCUUAUCUUGUACUCUUGACCAUCCUGCUUUCUGCUUUGAUGAGACCCUUUGUAAUUUUACUCCCUUUGCUUACAAUUGGAACCUUUGUAAUUAACCAGUUAAUAGUUUUUAUUAGAGAAUAUAUAAGUGCUGUACAGAUUCUUAUGCUAUGCCAACAAUAUCAGAGAUUAAGGCAGGACAAUCCAAAAUAUAUAAAGUCAGAGAUUUAAUUCUAUAGUUCUAAGAUUAGAACUCCUAACAAAAAAAGAAGAGGGGAAAUGAAUGGAGUUGGGACUUUUCAGAAUCCAUAGUUGAGGCAGCAAGCAGACUAGAGCCAGGGCAUGCGGGACAAGCUUGAAGCAAGGUUGUAGUUGAGCCAUUCCACAAACAGACCGGCCAUAAAAGAUAAGGGGCACGCCUGGGAAAACUCCUAUGGGUCCUCCACUAUCUGGACUGGAGUCUCCUGUCUCCUGUCCUUGGAUGCAGUUUAAAAUGACCUUCCUGCUAACAAAAUAAACCGCCCUCCUACUUUGCUGACGGUCCGAUCUGCACAUAUGCCAAAAAACCCAGCCUGCAUGCCAGAAUCCCCCGCCAGUGUUUGAAUCAGCAAAUCAUGUGUAACCGUGCCAACACCCCUGACAACCCCCAUGACUUUUCCUAUAUAAACCCCUAACUUUUGAGCCUCAGGGUCGACUCCACUGUCUCCUGUGUGAGAUACGUGUCGGCCCAGAGCUCUGAUAAUAAACUACCUCAUGCGUUUGCAUCAAGUCGGUCUCUCACAUUUCCUUGGGUGUAUGCUAUCCCGAGAAUGGAGUGGGGGUCUCCCCAAAAGGAGGUCCUACAAAACAAAGCAUGGAUCUUUCCCUAUAUAAACAUAGACUGACAAUUAAACUUUGAGCCUUGGUCAGAACUCUUGUCUUGCCUUCAUCCUUCUCUCACUCCCCCACCUUAAUUCCAGUCUCCCAUUUCGUCCAGAUUUUCCAAUUUUGUGGAGCAUAAGCUUCUGUAGUAGGAG